ACCGUCUCUCAACCGAAAAGUGCUCGGUCAGCCGCCUCAUACCGAAUCUAAUCACCCCCCAUCCGAUCCAACCCGCCGGUGCGUCUCUUCUUACACUCACAACAAAGAAACCAGCCUUACUUCAUGUAGAUAUGGGUCUGGGAUCUUGGUCCAACUUCAGAACUUCAACCUAGACUAAGGAUGGAUCCAGAUUCCCUGUAUGAAAGAAGGGCAGUCUCUAAAUAAAGUUGCACCAGGGUACCUGUGAAAGGAGGAGGAGUCUGCAAAAGUGUCUCCAAUUCACCUCACUUGCAUGUCUUUGGACUGUGAGGAAAACGGAUCAGACACAGGGAGAACAUGCAAACUCCACACAGAAAGGACCAUGAUCGCUCCACCUGGGGAUCGAACCCAGGACCUUCUUGCUGUGAGGCGACAUUGCUACCCACUUAGCCACCGUGCCGCCCUUUGGUUAACUCGUCACUCCAUAAGGACCCUUGGGAAGCUGACUGCCUGAUGAAAAAAUACAUGGAAAGCAACACUGGGAUGGAACAAACUCCAGCCUAUUAAAAAAGCUGGGAGAUUUAGUGUCCCGAGGAGAGAAUACAUUUUCCAGGACGGGAUAUUAAAAAGGACAAUCCAGAAAAACAUGGCAGUGGAGAGGCUUUAACCAGAACCUUCUAAUUACUAGUCCAGGAGCUAAACCGCUCAGCUACCACUGCUCCACCACUUUUACUUUUCUAUCUCCUCAUCCUUAUUAAAAGUGUCAAUAAUUUUG